rnacentral:rRNA from 1 species
UGGGGAACUUUGGACAAUGGGCGAAAGCCUGAUCCAGCAAUGCCGCGUGUGUGAAGAAGGCCUUCGGGUUGUAAAGCACUUUUGUCCGGAAAGAAAUCCUUGGCUCUAAUACAGUCGGGGGAUGACGGUACCGGAAGAAUAAGCACCGGCUAACUACGUGCCAGCAGCCGCGGUAAUACGUAGGGUGCAAGCGUUAAUCGGAAUUACUGGGCGUAAAGCGUGCGCAGGCGGUUUGCUAAGACCGAUGUGAAAUCCCCGGGCUCAACCUGGGAACUGCAUUGGUGACUGGCAGGCUAGAGUAUGGCAGAGGGGGGUAGAAUUCCACGUGUAGCAGUGAAAUGCGUAGAGAUGUGGAGGAAUACCGAUGGCGAAGGCAGCCCCCUGGGCCAAUACUGACGCUCAUGCACGAAAGCGUGGGGAGCAAACAGGAUUAGAUACCCUGGUAGUCCACGCCCUAAACGAUGUCAACUAGUUGUUGGGGAUUCAUUUCCUUAGUAACGUAGCUAACGCGUGAAGUUGACCGCCUGGGGAGUACGGUCGCAAGAUUAAAACUCAAAUGAAUUGACGGGGUCAUAGCUGUUUCCU